rnacentral:rRNA from 1 species
UACAGAGGGUGCGAGCGUUAAUCGGAUUUACUGGGCGUAAAGGGCGCGUAGGCGGUUUUAUGAGUGUGAUGUGAAAGCCCUCGGCUUAACCGAGGAACUGCCUGUCAGACUGGAUGGCUUGAGACCGGGAGAGGUGAGUGGAAUUCCCAGUGUAGCGGUGAAAUGCGUAGAUAUUGGGAGGAACACCAGUGGCGAAGGCGGCUCACUGGACCGGAACUGACGCUGAGGCGCGAAAGCGUGGGGAGCAAACAGG